ensembl:snoRNA SNORD39 Small nucleolar RNA SNORD55/SNORD39
UGAACGUGGUAACACCUGGGUAUGCUGCAAACUCCUGACUGCGUGGUGGGAAGGCCAACUUUGGAGAGCUGAGCCUGCA